rnacentral:rRNA from 1 species
UGGUGGAGUGAUUUGUCUGGUUAAUUCCGUUAACGAACGAGACCUCGACCUGCUAAAUAGAUGUACAAAUUCUCCGAAUUUGUUUUACAACUUCUUAGAGGGACUAUCAGUGCGUAGCCGGUGGAAGUUCGAGGCAAUAACA